rnacentral:rRNA from 1 species
UGAGGAAUAUUGGACAAUGGGCGCAAGCCUGAUCCAGCAAUGCCGCGUGCAGGAUGAAGGCCUUCGGGUUGUAAACUGCUUUUGUACGGAGCGAAAAGGUCUGCCCUAAUACGGUGGGCUCAUGACGGUACCGUAAGAAUAAGCACCGGCUAACUACGUGCCAGCAGCCGCGGUAAUACGUAGGGUGCGAGCGUUAAUCGGAAUUACUGGGCGUAAAGCGUGCGCAGGCGGUUAUAUAAGACAGAUGUGAAAUCCCCGGGCUCAACCUGGGACCUGCAUUUGUGACUGUAUAGCUAGAGUACGGUAGAGGGGGAUGGAAUUCCGCGUGUAGCAGUGAAAUGCGUAGAUAUGCGGAGGAACACCGAUGGCGAAGGCAAUCCCCUGGGCCUGCACUGACGCUCAUGCACGAAAGCGUGGGGAGCAAACA